GAUAGUGUAGUGCAGUGGUUUGAGCAUUGGACUACGACUCUGGAGAGUGGGUUCGAAUCCCAGCUUGGCCA